AACGAACGCUGGCGGCAUGCCUAACACAUGCAAGUCGAACGAGACCUUCGGGUCUAGUGGCGCACGGGUGCGUAACGCGUGGGAAUCUGCCCCUUGGUUCGGAAUAACAGUUAGAAAUGACUGCUAAUACCGGAUGAUGACGAAAGUCCAAAGAUUUAUCGCCGAGGGAUGAGCCCGCGUAGGAUUAGCUAGUUGGUGAGGUAAAGGCUCACCAAGGCGACGAUCCUUAGCUGGUCUGAGAGGAUGAUCAGCCACACUGGGACUGAGACACGGCCCAGACUCCUACGGGAGGCAGCAGUGGGGAAUAUUGGACAAUGGGCGAAAGCCUGAUCCAGCAAUGCCGCGUGAGUGAUGAAGGCCUUAGGGUCGUAAAGCUCUUUUACCAGGGAUGAUAAUGACAGUACCUGGAGAAUAAGCUCCGGCUAACUCCGUGCCAGCAGCCGCGGUAAGAGUGUGUGUA
rnacentral:rRNA from 1 species